AGCCUGAUGUUGACUCCUGUGUUCGUUUGCUCAGGCUGCCAACACCGACUGGGGGCUUCAAUAAUGGAAGCUUAUUUUCACACAGUUCUGGAGGCUGGAGUUCCAAGAUCAAGGUUUUGGCAGCAAACUCCAAUGUCAUCUCCUCCAUGAAGCCCUGGCUGCCACUCACAGAGAAGCAGGCUGAGUCCUGCACCAGGAUGCCUGGCUGAGGAGCAGAGUGGCAUAAAAGCAUUUGCUCUUUGUUUGCAGGCCGCUGGGCCCAGGAGGCUGGGUCUGUUCAGAAUCUCUGCCCGGCCAGGCAGCAGGCGCUGACUCUCGCACUGUCCGGUUCGAAGAGCUGUUUUCUGCAGGUACUUGCAGUAGCAGCUGGCCUGGGACCCACCCCCGGGCAAAGUCCGCUCCGGAGUCUGUCACUUCCCGGCGCGGGCCACCCAGCCCCUGGCGCCCUGGCGCUCAGCGCUCCGCGGGCGCGCCCUCUGGCGGCAAGAGCCCUGAACAUUUCGCAAGCGGCGAAGGCUGGCGCGUGUUAUCCUGGGCACCCACCGGACCGAAUCGCUGGGCAGGGCUGCAAGGUGACUUGCUAACGCAAUCAGACCAGAAAGGAGCGCGCGUCUAACUAAGCGGGGGAGGGGAGAAGCAUGUUCAUAUUUUGUAAAAUGCAAGUGGCACCUCUCCCCAUUUUCCUCAAAAUUUUAUUCUGAAAAACUUUAGUACUUAAAAGUUCAAAUGCUUUUACAGUGGACACACAUUUAUCUAUCAGCUAGAUUCUGUUAUUCACAUUUUACUCUAUUGGUUUCAUUGCA
rnacentral:lncRNA from 1 species